rnacentral:ncRNA from 1 species
UAGUUAUUAAUGAAAUAAGAUAUGAAUACUAAAAAUUUAUAUCUAAACAGGUUUUCAAGUAAAUUAGUUUAUAUAGAUUAAAGCUUGGCUCUGACUUUUAACAUGAUAAAGAACUAAAAAACACACAUGGUUUUUAUAGAGAGAGGCGAGGAAAAGAGAAAACACUUAAAGUUAAAAAAAUUUUACGUAGAUGCUUUCUCUUUAUAAUAUUAUAGUAUUAAAUGAUAUUUUGAAACGCCCCGCUAACACCAGUGCUGAAGGUUAAAAAAAAAGUGUAAGCUUGAAUUAAUUUAGUUCAAUAAAUCUGGUUAACUUGGUGCCAGCAUCCGCGGUUAAACCAAGAUGAUUAAGUCAUGUAUUUUCGGUAAAAAGAUAGUUAAGUAGAGAACAAAGUUAUAUAAAUUGUUAUUAAGAAGUAAAAUUCGUAAAUAACUUAGAAAUUUAAUUACAACUAAAAAACUGAAGCUAUGACACCCUGGAGGGAAACUGGGAUUAGAUACCCCACUAUUCUUGGGCAUAAAGAAAUAUAGAUUUACCAGAGUACUAUGGAUCGAUGACAUUUAAAACUCAAAGAGCUUGGCGGUGUUUUAGACUCUUUAGGGGAACCUGUCUCAUAAUCGACAAUCCACGUAGAACCUGACCCUUAUUUGCUUCCAGUUUGUAUACCGUCGUCGUCAGGUAACUUUUUAGAAAAAAGAAGUUAGCAACUGAGUUUUUAUAAUCUCUCACGUCAGAUCAAGGUGCAGCUAAUAUAAGGGGGAGGAUGGGUUACAAUUAUAAUAUUCAUAAUUACGGAAUAACAGUUUCAAAUAACAGUUAUGAAGGAGGACUUAAAAGUAAAACUAAAUAUAUAAAAGUAUUGAAUCAAGCUCUGAAACGUGCACACAUCGCCCGUCGCUCUCGUUGAAAAACGAGAUAAGUCGUAACAUAGCAGGGGUAAUGGAAAUUGUCCCUUAAU